UCGUCUUUUCUCGUACUUGAAGCCCUCUCCUAUCCGAAAGCCUAAUUGAGAAAUCAACCAAGAAUCAAGUAUUAUUCCUCAAAAAAUCAUAUCAUUCACUUAAAUCAGUCUAUAGAGUAAAGAGACAACAUUUCUUCUUGGUUAAAUACAAUUUUAAGGGACAAUAUAUGCUUCAAGUAAGGAGCAAGAGACAAUUCAGACAUUGUAUUAUGUUAAAGGACUCAAAUAAAAGUUAGACACCCCUUCCCUCUAUUUUCAAGAGCAAAUAUACGUCAUUGAUGGGACUAGUAUACCUAUGUUUUCAAAUCCUAUUGAGGUAUUAUAUGGUUCUGUUAAAAGAUUGGAAAAACAUGGUGAUUCUCUGUAAUUUUAAUAAUAUUUAGAUAUAUGAAUAUGACGCAAAUGGCGAUAAAUAUACAAUUGUUUUCAUAGUUGUAAAUUGUUUUUUGAGACCCCUUA